rnacentral:piRNA from 1 species
UGAAGUUCAUAGAAACUAGAAAGUCAGGU